UUUUGUCAGUUAUAAACUGAUCUUGAACACUGAAGACGCUAGCACUCAAUCAACGAACUCCCGCGACAUGACCAACACAAAAUCACUAUGUUUUCUACUUUUGUUUAUCCUGAUAGGGGUUGCGAAAUAUCAAGCAUAUCCCUCAAAUACURUAGACGCUCAUAGAAAUGCUAAAGAAUGCUGUGUCUACAGGUGUCCUAGAUUUUGCAAGUGUUGUCUAAAACUACAAGGCAAAAGAGAGAGCCGUACAAGAAUUGACAGCAAAGUUACGUGGCCGUGGCAGUGGCGAGAGGAAGCCGACGAAUGGUCUCCACUACAUAUUUGAAAGCGUGUUGGUGUUUUCAAAAUACACUGAAUUCAAAAAGAAGAUUGGUAGUUUAAUUAAAUGAAAACGAAACCUUAUUUACGACAAUGUCAAAUGGUUUAUAAUUAUUUAUGGAUUGGUGAAUCUAAUUUACCAGUCUAAAAAAAGAUAUACUUUAUAGCAUGUUUUGAGGAAAAUGUUGGUAAAUCGUAUUGAUAGAUGCAAUUCAGAGCAUGGUAUUGUAAACAAGUCGUGUCGCUCUGCCCGCCCAUGUCCUGAAUUAUCCGAGUCAUCUUACUUUUGUUUAUGCCAAGUUGCAAAACAUUAUUUUUUCCCAUACGAAAUUUUAAUAAAGAGUAUAUUCAGCUAUUGUUU